CUCCUACUCCCUCCGUUCCACAAUACAUGCCUUCUAUUUGUCAAAAUAUAGAUGUAUCUAGACAUGUUUUAGUAUAUAGGUACAUCCAUUUUUGGACAAAUGGAAGUCAAGUAUUUUGGAACGGAGGGAGUAAAAU
rnacentral:pre_miRNA from 1 species